UGUCGUGGAAGGAUCAGAAUUUGUUGGUAACAUUUGUAAGAUGUUUAAUAUUCAUCAAAUGUGUGCAAGUUACUUCCCAUCAGAAUGGUAUUUUUGUGUAAUUCUGAUGUGAGGUUGCAGUUAUCUGUUCUAUGUCAAAACUAAGUUGCCUGGGCCGCUGAGAGGGGAGAGGUCAAAGUGUCAUCAUGUGUAAACAUAUCUUUUACUCCCUACUUUUCUCAUGGGGGGGAAAGGAGGGUGGAAUCAUCCUAUGCUCCCUCUUUGUUGACCUGUAGGGUCACUCUCCUAUCCGUGAGUUUGUCCAGGAGUUUGUAUUUAGAGUGGGUUGUAUAUAAAUGACAAUUUGAUAUAUGCCUGUUGAUAUGGAGGAUUGGUUUAUGAUUCUGGGGUUUGGGAAAGGAGACAAAGCUGAACGAUGAGUUAUGUCUAUGCUGUCUGACUAUGUGUGUCUUUGCUAUUAAAGGAACUCAGUUGCAUUGUAAGGGAACUCUCAGAGAAUUCACUGGGGAGACACUGAAUUUAUCUGAGAGUCACAGGAUUGUGAUAAGAGCUCAUAUAAUUAAAGAUGGACUUUUAUAACUAACUCUGACGUGUGUGUGGUUUGCUCCCAUGAUUUGGUAAAUAGAGGAAAUUUCCACGACAUUUGGCGGAGGAGGGGAUGUGAAUCUUCACUCGGUGACCGUUCCUAUGAUCUAGGUAAAUAAAUCGUGCACGAGGGAUCCCCUAAACUUGGGAUCUCAGGGAGAACCACACUUCGGGAACGAAGCAGAUGGACCAACCUUUGAUCUAAGAGGAAGCGAGCCGAGUGGAUUCCACAUCUCGAACUGAGUUUUUUUUUUUAAAGAAAAAGGUCUAAUUUCUUGAUCCUUGGCUCUACGAUGGAGUUGACAGUGAGAUGGGGAGUAUAAAACCAAUUUGAAAGAAUAGUUUCAAUAGAAUGUUUUGAUAUUCUCUGUGAAAUAUGUUUAGAUAUGUGUGUUAAGAAUAAUUGGUAAAAGUAAUCAUUUAUCAUGUAGUUAAUGAACUGAACUAAACUGUUGUUCUGAUCUGUUCUUUCGAGGUCAUCAUGAAAAGUGACAGACGGUAUCUUAAUGCAUGGAAGAGAUCAUUUGGACCGAAUGGUGUGUGUACCUCAAAACCCCCUCUACCUGGCUGAAGAAAAGAGACAAAGGCAUUGAAGGAGGCUUUCCAAACCACUUCUACCGAGAGAAAAGAACCAAGCCAGAAAUUGGUGUACAGUAUCAGAUCUAAGCUAUCAACUGCUUUUCUUUCAUGGUUCUGUCAUACUGUGAUGAGUCCACUUGGAGUGAUCAUGGAGAAAGAUCUGUUCUAACAUUUUCUUGUGAUGCUGGUAUAUUGGUUGACGAAUGGACAAGACAUGAGUGGUAAAGAUGAGACAUUGAAAUUGGGACAUUAUCAUGGGCUGUCCAUUUUGAACUGUAAAGCUAUCUGAAGAUGCCAGAAGAUGCCGUGCCUGUGUAAGGGGGGUUUAAUCAAACUGUGCCAUUAAAAUUGUUUAUACUUUUGUGGUAUCAGAUUGAUUGAAGAGGUCUACACCAUGUAAAUUGUAGUAAUUUAGAUUAAGAAUAAAUUGAGAUACUGAUCUGUAUUAAAAUCAUGAUUAAAAAAAGUUAAUAGUAGAAUUAUGGGAUAAUUAUACUGUAUGUAAAUCUGCUAAUAUUGAUGUGUGUUAAAUUGACGUUUUUACUUUAAGUGAUAAUGAUCCAUUUGAAUCACUGAGGAAUGUUGGAUAAAUAGUUGGGUUGUUACUUAUGAUUUGGAAUAUGAAUGAUUUCACUGCCCUAUUCUCUAUUCCUGAGUAUAUUUCUGAGCAUGAGGACUUAGAGGGAUGUCUGUUCUAUAUGUUGUGAGGAGGCCUGUGUUUAGACACUGUUUCUCAUGUAAUUUAAAGAGCAUUUAUGUUAUGUUUUUAUUUUUCCUCAAAUGGAUUAUUCUGUGUUAUUAAACAUGUGCAAGGUUGUCUUGUAGAAUAAAGGUUGUAAUCUUAAUUUCAGAAGGGAGAAAGUUUACCUAUAAGCUAAGGUAUUUGACAUUAAGGGGAUUUGAAUUUUAAAAUAUUGAGUAUGUAAUUAAUAUUCUGAUUCUUCAAAAGGGACUUAGUCCCUUGAGAGGGGGAAUGUCGUGGAAGGAUCAGAAUUUGUUGGUAACAUUUGUAAGAUGUUUAAUAUUCAUCAAAUGUGUGCAAGUUACUUCCCAUCAGAAUGGUAUUUUUGUGUAAUUCUGAUGUGAGGUUGCAGUUAUCUGUUCUAUGUCAAAACUAAGUUGCCUGGGCCGCUGAGAGGGGAGAGGUCAAAGUGUCAUCAUGUGUAAACAUAUCUUUUACUCCCUACUUUUCUCAUGGGGGGGAAAGGAGGGUGGAAUCAUUCUAUGCUCCCUCUUUGUUGACCUGUAGGGUCACUCUCCUAUCCGUGAGUUUGUCCAGGAGUUUGUAUUUAGAGUGGGUUGUAUAUAAAUGACAAUUUGAUAUAUGCCUGUUAAUAUGGAGGAUUGGUUUAUGAUUCUGGGGUUUGGGAAAGGAGACAAAGCUGAACGAUGAGUUAUGUCUAUGCUGUCUGACUAUGUGUGUCUUUGCUAUUAAAGGAACUCAGUUGCAUUGUAAGGGAACUCUCAGAGAAUUCACUGGGGAGACACUGAAUUUAUCUGAGAGUCACAGGAUUGUGAUAAGAGCUCAUAUAAUUAAAGAUGGACUUUUAUAACUAA
ensembl:lncRNA